rnacentral:rRNA from 1 species
CCUACGGGAGGCAGCAGUGGGGAAUUUUGGACAAUGGGCGCAAGCCUGAUCCAGCAAUGCCGCGUGAGUGAAGAAGGCCUUCGGGUUGUAAAGCUCUUUUGUCAGGGAAGAAACGGUGAGAGCUAAUAUCUCUUGCUAAUGACGGUACCUGAAGAAUAAGCACCGGCUAACUACGUGCCAGCAGCCGCGGUAAUACGUAGGGUGCAAGCGUUAAUCGGAAUUACUGGGCGUAAAGCGUGCGCAGGCGGUUUUGUAAGUUUGUCGUGAAAGCCCCGGGCUCAACCUGGGAAUUGCGAUGAAGACUGCAAGGCUUGAAUCUGGCAGAGGGGGGUAGAAUUCCACGUGUAGCAGUGAAAUGCGUAGAGAUGUGGAGGAACACCGAUGGCGAAGGCAGCCCCCCGGGUCAAGAUUGACGCUCAUGCACGAAAGCGUGGGGAGCAAACAGGAUUAGAUACCCUGGUAGUCCACGCCCUAAACGAUGUCUACUAGUUGUCGGGUUUUAAUAACUUGGUAACGCAGCUAACGCGUGAAGUAGACCGCCUGGGGAGUACGGUGCAAGUUAAACUUAAGGAAUUGACGGNNGNGAGNGCGAGACGACGACGAGGAGGAGG